rnacentral:rRNA from 1 species
GAUGAACGCUGGCGGCGUGCCUAAUACAUGCAAGUCGAGCGAACGGACGAGAAGCUUGCUUUUCUGAUGUUAGCGGCGGACGGGUGAGUAACACGUGGAUAACCUACCUAUAAGACUGGGAUAACUUCGGGAAACCGGAGCUAAUACCGGAUAAUAUUUUGAACCGCAUGGUUCAAAAGUGAAAGACGGUCUUGCUGUCACUUAUAGAUGUAUCCGCGCUGCAUUAGCUAGUUGGUAAGUUAACGGCUUACCAAGGCAACGAUGCAUAGCAGACAUGAGAGGGGGAUCGGCCACACUGGAACUGAGACACGGUCCAGACUCCUACGGGAGGCAGCAGUAGGGAAUCUUCCGCAAUGGGCGAAAGCCUGACGGAGCAACGCCGCGUGAGUGAUGAAGGUCUUCGGAUCGUAAAACUCUGUUAUUAGGGAAGAACAUAUGUGUAAGUAACUGUGCACAUCUUGACGGUACCUAAUCAGAAAGCAACGGCUAACUACGUG